rnacentral:rRNA from 1 species
GACGAACGCUGGCGGCGUGCUUAACACAUGCCAGUCGAACGGAAAGGCCCUGCUUUUGUGGGGUGCUCGAGUGGCGAACGGGUGAGUAACACGUGAGUAACCUGCCCUUGACUUUGGGAUAACUUCAGGAAACUGGGGCUAAUACCGUAUAGGAGCUCCUGCUGCAUGGUGGGGGUUGGAAAGUUGCGGCGGUUGGGGAUGGACGCGCGGCUUAUCAGCUUGUUGGUGGGGUAGUGGCUUACCAAGGCAUUGACGGGUAGCCGGCCUGAGAGGGUGACCGGCGACAUUGGGACUGAGAGACGGCGCAGACUGCUACGGGAGGCAGCAGUGGGGAGUAUUGCACAAUGGGCGGAAGCCUGAUGCAGAGACGCCGCGUGCGGGAUGACGGUCUUUGGGUUGUAAAACGCUUUCGCCUGUGACGAAGCGUGAGUGACGGUAAUGGGUAAAGAAGCACCGGCUAACUACGUG